UCCCUGGUAGUCCAGUGGUUAAGACUCUGCACUUCCACUGAAAGGGGCAUGGGUUCAAUCCCUAGUCAGGGAA
rnacentral:tRNA from 1 species